GCUUACGGCCAUACCACCCUGAGCACGUCUGAUCUCGGAAGCUAAGCAAGGUCGGGCCUGGUUAGUACUUGGAUGUGAGACUGCCUAGGAAUACCAGGUGCUGUAAGCU
ensembl:rRNA 5S_rRNA 5S ribosomal RNA